ACUGGAUGUGGAGGCGCACAUCUGUAAUCCCAGCAACACAGGAGGUUGAGGCAGGAGGAUCUUAAGUUCAAGGACAGCCUCAGCAACUUAGGGGAGACCCUGUCUAAA
rnacentral:sRNA from 1 species